rnacentral:lncRNA from 1 species
CCAGGGUGGCCUUGAACUCAGAAAUCUGCCUGCCUCUGCCUCCCAAGUGCAGGGAGUAAAGACGUGCGCCACUACUGCCAGGUGUUUUUUGUUUUCUUAUGUAGCAUCUUUCCAGCAGAUCUUGGGAGAGGAAUUCUCAGUACCGGUUCUAAUUUCACAACCAUUUGGGUAACCUUGACCUUUGACCUUUGCGAAUUUGGAUGGAAUGGCCAUGUUUUCUUCCUGGCGAUGGUCCCUCUGCUACUUGAUUUUGGCCGCCUCCAGCUGCGGAUAUCUAGGGACAAAGAAAGCUGAGUGCUGUGCUGGCUGGGAUGACCUUGGGUUAUUUAGAGUUGGGAAAGUCUAAGGACCAGUUUCUUGUGAUGUAUGGCCUUCAUGGUGAUCAAGUCUCAAAGUCGAGCAUAUAUCUCACUGCGAGGAGGCAGGGCACAAGCAGGGGACAUGGGAAGCUGGAUGACAAGCCAUCCCACAGGGCAGGGGAACCCUAAGUGGAGUCCCCGCCCCCCUCAUUUGUAAUACACUCUGUAUAUUAUGUGCUAUGUGGAAAUAAUGUAUACUUGACAUAUUUAUGCCUCUGAAAUAUAUGAAUAAACAA